UACAGAGGUCUCAAGCGUUGUUCGGAUUCAUUGGGCGUAAAGGGUGCGUAGGCGGCGCGGUAAGUCGGGUGUGAAAUCUCGGAGCUUAACUCCGAAACUGCAUUCGAUACUGCCGUGCUUGAGGACUGGAGAGGAGACUGGAAUUUCCGGUGUAGCGGUGAAAUGCGUAGAUAUCGGAAGGAACACCUGUGGCGAAAGCGGCUCACUGGACCAUAACUGACGCUGAGGCGCGAAAGCUAGGGGAGCAAACAGGG
rnacentral:rRNA from 1 species